rnacentral:rRNA from 1 species
GAUGAACGCUAGCUACAGGCUUAACGCAUGCAAGUCGAGGGGAAACGAUAGAGAAAGCUUGCUUUUUCUAGGCGUCGACCGGCGCACGGGUGAGUAACGCGUAUCAACCUGCCCACCACUUGGGGAUAACCUUGCGAAAGUAAGACUAAUACCCAAUGAUAUCUCAAGAAGACAUCUGAAUGAGAUUAAAGAUUUAUCGGUGAUGGAUGGGGAUGCGUGUGAUUAGCUUGUGGGCGGGGUAACGGCCCACAAAGGCGACGAUCAGUAGGGGUUAUGAGAGGAAGGUCCCCCACAGUGGAGCUGAGACACGGUCAAAACUCCUACGGGAGGCAGCAGUGAGGAAUAUUGGUCAAUGGGCGAGAGCCUGAACCAGCCAAGUAGCGUGCAGGAUGACGGCCCUAUGGGUUGUAAACUGCUUUUAUAAGGGAAUAAAGUGAGUCUCGUGAGACUUUUUGCAUGUACCUUAUGAAUAAGGACCGGCCAAUUCCGUGCCAGCCGCCGCGGUAA